AUUGAACGCUGGCGGCAUGCCUUACACAUGCAAGUCGAACGGCAGCGGACCUUCGGGUGCCGGCGAGUGGCGAACGGGUGAGUAAUGCAUCGGAACGUACCUUUCAGUGGGGGAUAACGUAGCAAAAGUUACGCUAACACCGCAUAUUCUGUGAGCAGGAAAGCAGGGGAUCGCAAGACCUUGCGCUGAUUGAGCGGCCGAUGUCAGAUUAGCUAGUUGGUGAGGUAAGGGCUCACCAAGGCGACGAUCUGUAGCGGGUCUGAGAGGAUGAGCCGCCACACUGGGCAGGAGAAACGGCCCAGACUCCUACGGGAGGCAGCAGUGGGGAAUUUUGGACAAUGGGGGCAACCCUGAUCCAGCCAUGCCGCGUGAGUGAAGAAGGCCUUCGGGUUGUAAAGCUCUUUCGGCCGGGAAGAAAUCGCACAGGCUAAUACCUUGUGUGGAUGACGGUACCGGAAUAAGAAGCACCGGCUAACUACGUGCCAGCAGCCGCCGUAACAC
rnacentral:rRNA from 1 species